rnacentral:rRNA from 1 species
CCCCUAGAUGUUCUGGGCCGCACGCGCGCUACACUGAACAGUUCAACAAGUCUUAACCUUGGCCGAUAGGUCUGGGUAAUCUUUGAACGCUGUUCGUGAUUGGGAUAGACCUUUGCAAUUAUGGGUCUUCAACGAGGAAUUCCUAGUAAACGCAAGUCAUCAGCUUGCAUUGAUUACGUCCCUGCCCUUUGUACACACCGCCCGUCGCACCUACCGAUUGAAUGGUCCGGUGAAAAUUUCGGACAGUGACGAUGCUGGCGGUCCGCCGCCGGCGCUGUCGCUGGAAGAUCUUUAAACCUUAUCAUUUAGAGGAAGGAGAAGUCGUAACA